GGUGGUUCUUGGGUUACGCACCCUGGAAUUGGGCUCCGUCCUUUCUGGUUUCGGAUGUGUCACCUGAGAACCACA
rfam:Myotis davidii contig54814, whole genome shotgun sequence.